CGCUCGGACUGAAUCCCCAUUCCGUUUUUCUUCAUCCCAAUUUCUUUUAGAAUUCUGUGCGCUGAUCUUGGCCCUUUCUUUGUGUGAAAACCGAUGCUUCACCGACUUUUGGGCAAAUUAGCCCCCCUUUUUUAUGCUGUUGCAUGUUCGAAAUUGGAAGUGAUCCAUUCCUGCAGCAGAAAUAUUAGUAGUUCUUGUUUUCUUACCUUCAUGUGGGCAUGAUUAAUGAGAUGGGUGCGGGUUAGUUCAUGGUAUUUGAGGUUUUAUGCAUGCUUGGAGCUGAAUCCACAUUUAUAGGUCAACAUGGGAUUUGAUAACGAGUGCAUAGUGAACAUUCAAUCCCUUGCUGGAGAAUACUUCUGUCCUGUUUGUCGGCUUCUUGUAUAUCCAAAUGAAGCGUUGCAAUCUCAAUGUACUCAUUUAUACUGCAAGCCAUGCUUGACCUACAUCGUGAGCACUACAAGGGCUUGCCCUUAUGAUGGAUACCUAGUGACUGAAGUAGAUUCCAAGCCUCUUACAGAGUCAAAUAAUACACUUGCUGAAACUAUUGGAAAGGUAGCAGUUCAUUGUCUGUAUCACAGGAGUGGAUGCACGUGGCAAGGGUCUUUGUCUGAGUGUACAUCUCACUGUUCUGGAUGUCCUUUUGGCAAUUCUCCUGUUGUUUGCAACAGGUGUGGGAUCCAAAUAGUGCAUCGUCAAGUACAGGAACAUGCACAAAACUGUCCCGGUGUGCAAACUCAGGUGCAACAGUCAGAGGCUGCACAGAACCCUUCAGCCAGUGGUGCUGUUGCUUCUACUGAUCCAACCCAGACUGCUGCUCAGGUUGGAGCAACGGCUUCUCAAGCUCUUACUUCUCAGACUGUGGCUGCAGCAAGUGCUCCUGGGCAGGAUUUGAGUAUGCUAGCCAACACAACUUCUCAGGCUCAACCCUCAGUUCCGACUGUCAUGCAGCCAAAUGCAGAGCAAUGGUAUCAACAGCAGCCAUAUCAACAGUACUACCAGCAAUACUCUGGAUAUGACCCAUAUCAACAGCAGUAUCAACAUCAGUAUCCCUAUCAAUCGACUGUGGUUCCACAGUACCAGCAGUACAUGCAGGCUUAUGGCCAGCCCCAACUUCAAUCUCAAACACAGCCCCAGCCUCCAUCUCAAUCACAGCCCCAGCCUCAGGCUCUAACUCAAGCUCAGCCACAACCUCAACCACAGCCUCAAUCACAGCCUCAGGCACAGGGAUAUUCUCAACCUGUUUCUCAUGCACCUGUGGCGCUACAACCUCAGAACCAGAUGCAAGUUAGCCAACAGCAGCAACUUCAGCUUACUGUACAGCAGCAUAGUCAGAUUCAGUCACUGGGGAACCCAUCAGUCCAUAGCCUCCCUCAGUCUCAGCCUUAUCCAUAUCUUCAAAGUCAACCUAACACUUCUCAGCCUCAAUCCCAACAACCUUUGCAUAUACCUCAUUAUCAGCAGCCUCAUCCUCAGAUGCAACAGUCACAGCCUCAAGUUCAACAGCCAGCUCAGAAUUUUCCAAUUUCUCAACCUCAAGCACAUCAACAUUUGCAGCCUCAUGCUCCAGUUCAACAUAUUCCCCAGUCCCAGAUGCAUCCACAACAGCCCCACCUCCCCGGGACUCUUAAUCUUCAGCCUCAAACGCAAAAUACAUCAGCACAUGCAGUGACAGGUCAUCACUCUUAUCCUCAACUUCAGGCUCAUCAGAAUAUGCAGAUGGGAGCCCCUCAACGUCCUAUGAAUAUGCAUCCUCAAGGUGGGCCUUUACCCCAUUCUCAGCAGCAUGGCCAGAUGCAGAAUCAGUUUCCUCAGCAAUUUCCAAUGAUGCGUCCCCAUCAAUCUCAUGCUAUCUUUCCAAACCAGCAACUGCCUGCUAUGUUUCCUGCACCUGUUCAGGGCCAAAAUGUUCCCCCUCAACAGCAACAACUUUAUGGUCCUGGUCAACAACCUGCCCAAGCCAACCAUCGUCCUGUUACACAGGCAGCUCAACAGCCAUUGCCUCCACAGUCUUUUGUACAACAGUCAAUGCCAUCUCAUCUACGUCCCCAAGGUCCACCUCCUGCAUUUCCUGAACAUGCUCAAACUUACCAACAGCAACUUACAAAUGUUGCAUUAUCACAUAUUCCUCAGUCCAGUCAGUCUCUAAAUGCUGGGGGAAGGCCUUUGAUGCCCAAUCAUAAAAUGCCACCACAAACAUUUGCUCAAACUGCUAAUGCCUCCCUUGUUAGGCCAAUGCAUGCUGGUGCUAGCCAUUUGCAUGGAAAUCAGAAUACGAUGGUUGGGCCCAAUAAUCAAGCACAAGCAUCUUUGGAUCUGCAGUCCAGAGCAUCAGAUCCGUAUGGCAAACAAGGUGCUCUUAUUGGGAAAAAAUCUGAUUCUGCUUCUGGAAUGCCUGGUAAAAGUGCUAAGGAUAUGGAUAAAGUGCUUGUAUCAGAAUCAGAGGUAAAAAAUGAAAAAGAUAUCAGGCAAGAUGAAAUUGGGAAUGAGAUAAAAGGUGAAGGUCUGCAGUCUUUGCAGACGAUAGAUAUGAAUACCAGUGCGCUAGAAAAUGGUAAUGUGUUGAAUAAGAAUUCUGUGAAAGAAGAGGCUGCUGGAAGUACUUGGCAGCCUUCAAUUGGAGAUAAAUCAGGUGAUACAGUAGCUGGGGUUCAAAAUAAUACUGUCAAUGAGCAUUCUGGUAUGAAAGACAAGGAAAUUCAGCAUGAUCAUCAGCUGAAAAAUUCUUCAUUGCUAGGGACAGAAAUUUCAGAUUCACAACCUGGUAAGCCGCAGAAUGAUGAUAGGCCUACUUCAAAGCCUCCUUUAGAAGCUGAUAAUACUGCCUCAGCUGUCACCCAAACCCUUGAUACUUCUCAAGGUCCUGGGGUCAAUGAAUACAGAAAUAUGGCUUCACUCAGUCAUGGCCAGUCCAGUGGAUCUCAGCUUUCUUGCCCAGCUUCCCUUGCUGAUCAGGGAAAGUAUCAUAGUUUUGCAGGGCAAAGUUUUGCAAUCCUAAGUCGAUACAACCAAGGUCAAGCACCUUUUCAUCCCAGUGCAUCCAAUUUGCCAAGUGUUGAAUCUGGUGAAAGGCCACAGUUUGGUACUGGAGAUAUGCAUGGUGGAACAACAAAUUUACCACCACAUGCUUCUGAAUCCCACCUGCAUCACAGGCCUGGUUACUUGAAUGGUCCCCAUGGUUUUGGUUCACAAGAAGAAAGGUUCAAGCCUUUCCCAGUCCCAGGUCAACAAAAUAUUGAACGAAGAGAGUUUGAAGAUGAUCUCAAGAGGUUUCCUGCACCUUAUGCUGAUGCUGAGCACAUUUCAAAAUAUGGGGGCCAUUCAUUAGGUCCACAUAAUAGAGGUUCCCAUGGGUUUAACUACAGCAGUGGUUCAAAGUUGAAUCCUGGGGCAGGUGCUGUUACCUCAAGAUUGUUUCCUCCCUCUUAUUCUUUAAGUGACACUGGAGAGAGACCAGUUGCUUUACAUGAUGAUGCCAUGGUGAAAUCAGAUACAGCUCAUCGCACUGAUUAUCUUGGAAUAGGCUCAAGACAUGGGCGGCAUCACAUGGAUGGUCGAACUUCACGAAGUCCAGUUGGUGAACAUGCUGAAAUGUAUUUGGGGAGAGCUGGGCUCCAUUCUGGUGGUAUUUCUAGUAGGUCAAGUGCAUAUGACUUUGAUGGAAGACAUCCUUGUCAUUUUGGUGAUUCAUUUGGCACUGCAUUCCGUGAUAGUAGAUUUUCUCAUUUGCCAAGCCAUUUUCACAGAGCUGAGCUUGAGGGUCCUGGUAGUAUGCGAAUUGGUGAACAUCCAAGGGGUGAAUUCAUUGGUCAAGAUGACUUUGCUGGCCAUUUCCGGAGGGGUGAUCAUUUCGGUCCUCAUAACUUGCCUAGACAUUUGCCAUUGGGGGAGCCUCUUGGUUUUGGUGCCCAUGCUGGUCAUGUGCAAGCAGCUGAACUUGGUGGUCCUCAGAGUUUUGAAUCUUUCAAUAGAGGUAACAGACCAGGUCAUUCACGACUUGGUGAGCCAGGGUUUAGGAGCAGCUUUUCCCGUCCAGGGUUUUCUAAUGAUGGACUUUUAACAGGAGAUAUUGGGUCCUUUGAUAAUCUGAAGAGAAGGAAGGCAAGCAUGGGGUGGUGUCGGAUAUGUAAAGUUGACUGUGACACUGUUGAAGGCUUGGACUUGCAUUCUCAAACAAUGGAGCACCAGAGGAUGGCCAUGGAUAUGGUUAAAAGCAUCAAACAGAAUGCCAAAAAACAAAAGUUUGAACAAUCCUCAAUUGAAGAUGGGAGCAAGUCAAGAAAUACUAGCUUUGAGGGCAGUGGGAAAAAGCACUGAACAGUAGUGGUUUGCUGCAACUCUAGUCUUGUGUCUCACUCGUGCAAUUCUCAUCAAAAGAUGUUCCUGUGGCAUUAUUGCAUUUAGCAAUACUUACCUUUCUAUGCCAUUUUUCUACUUGAGGUGGUUUAUGUUACUUUUGUUAUUUCAGGUGGCUGCCAUGUUAAUGGGGAUGGUUUUUGGAUCUGAAGUACUGUGGCAAUUUUGAAUUCAUCCUGUCUUUGGCUGGGGAAGCAGACAUCAAAAGGCUGCAACUUCUGUGGAACGAUUAACCUGGUCGUCUUUGUCUGUGAUGUGGUAAGAUUUUGCUGGUAGCCAACUUACAACCUAGUGUUGAAUUCUUAGAUUGGUGAAAAUUUUUGGCACUAUUCAUAUGUCUGUUUUUGAACAAGUUAUUGCUUAGUUUGCACUCAAGUUUAAUUUGCUGCAGUUGAGAGCCUGAUAUUAGUAUUACUUAUGAAGACUGCAAGAACAAAAUAAUACUUAUGUGGUUUUCUAGUAAUAUUAUACGUGUUUGGAAUGUAAAUUAGCUUAAAUGAACGCAUAGGUCUUAGCCAAAUCUUAAGUCUGGCAGAAAAAAUUGGUUUUAAUGAUUAAGUGGGCUAAUUAACAAUCUCCGAGAAGUGUCACUAAAUGAGCUGUUAAUGAUUGAAAGUGGGCUAAUAUCUCUAGUCUGAACUUGCUUUGGUUAGUAAUCAAACAAAGAUGGAUGGGAUUUUAUCAGAGAAAUAAAAAGGUUUGGGGGUGGGGGGAGUGAGUGGACUGAAAGUGUAUGGGUUCAUUCUCGAUGAAUUGGAAGUUGUACAGGGUCCUUUAUAUAGAAUGGUGAAACAUAAUAGACGAUCUAAUCUUAACUUAUGACAAAACAUAACAGUGUAGCAGACUUAAAUUCCUCCGGCACCUGUCAAUUCCAAGAACUCUUCUACCACUCUAAUGCACCUACAUGAGUUCUGAGUUCAUCAAGAAUAGUGCUUGGUUGUUACAUAUUGUGAUGCACCAACUACAGACCUGUACAGAUGAGAGCCAACAAAUCAAAACCUUCCUUUCUUGGCUUCAACCCAGAAGCCAUAGGAGUUGAAAUGCCCUUUGUAUUUUCUUGUUAGCCCUUUCAGAAGGUCUUUCACAUACCUUUUCUGUAACAACUUAAUUGAGCUAUCCUUGAUGGUCUUUAUUCAAGACCUUAAAAAUAGCCUAGAGAGCCAAGAUUUUCUAUGAAAUUCCCCUGCCCACCCUUUCAAUUAAAUCUUUAAUUCACUUAUUUGAUGAACCUGUGAUAAGCAUGUCAUCCACUUAAACCAAAACAUGAGUUGCAUUUGUAGGGGGAACUCUAAUGAACAAUGAAGGGUCACAUUUGUUUAAUUAAGGCCCAUGGCUUGUUUUAGGCCAUAUAUAGCUGUUGAGUCUGGACACAUUGAUUUGCUGCUUUCAAAACCUGGUUCAUGUUGCUACAAUCUUCCUCUUGCAACAGUCCUUUGAGGAAAGCAUUAUUCACAUCAAUGUAGUGAAUAUGCCAGCCUCUAGCUGAGCUAUAACAAUAAGACCACUUAAAUUGUUACUGACUAAAUAACUGGACUCGAUGUUGCUAUGUAAUCAAACCCUUUCUUUGGUGAAAACCUUCAGCAACCAAGCAUGCUUUUAGUAUGUUUGGUUUCCCAUUUAUAACAGGUUUUGCAUCUUGAGACAGUCACUCCCGCGUUAUAAUAACAAAAAUAACAAGUCUUAUCUCACUAGGUGAGGUUAGCUAUGUGGAUUGCAUGAGUCUGUUGUACUCUUUCAUUAACGAAGCUUUUAGAGAUGUUGUUAACAAAGAGCUCUUGUUCGACAAUUUUCAUAAGUGUUCACUUUGGUUUUCCUUUACCUCUCUUUACAGGGUUAAGAUUAUCUAUUACACUCUCCUCACUGGUGCCUUCAACAGUUUUCUCUGUACAUGUUCAAAUUAUCUCAAACGAUUUUUUACCAUUUUCUCCUAAAAAGAUGCCACGCCCACCUUUUCUCAUAUAUGUUUAUUUCGGAUUUUAUCUUUUCAUAUAUGCCCGCACAUUUAUCUCAAUAUUAUCAUCAUUGAUUUAACUUUAUAUUCUUGCUGUUCCUUUAAAGCCCAACAUUUACUACCAUAUGGCAUAAUUGGUCUUAUAGUAGUUCAAUAAAACUCUUUUAAGUUUAUUAGGUAUUUUUCAAUCACACAUAACUCCUUUAGCUUUUGUUCAAUUAAACCACCCGGUUUGUAUUUGAUGUGCAACAUUCUCAUUAGUUUUCCCACCAUGUUAAAUACAACAACAACAACAACAAGCCUUUAUCCCACUAGGUGGGGUCGGCUACAUGGAUUGCAAGACGCCAUUGUGCUCUAUCAUUUAUUAAGCUUUUAGAAAUAUUAUUAAUUAAGAGAUCACGUUCAACAAUUUCCAAGAGUGUUCUCUUAGGCCUUCCUCUACCUCUCUUAAUCGAACUCAAAGUUAUAUGUUCCACUCUUCUCAUUAGUUUUCCCACCAUGUUAAAUAAUAACUAUUAAAUAUCUUUUACUUCUCCAUUUGAGGUAUAGUUUGAUCUCUCAACCUUACUUCCAAAUUACUAUUGAUUGAUCUUUUGUCAAAAUUACAAUGCAAAUAUUCUUAUUGCUACUUAAACGGAAACUUUUCAACUUCAAGGUCUUCCUCCAUAACUCAAGUAUGCAAUUAAUUUAUUUUCUUGCUUUUGCAAUUAGAACUAUAUCAUUUGCGAAAAGCAUACAUUUGGGAAUUUCCUCUUAAAUAUGCUUAGUCAAAAGAUUUAAAAUGAAGUCAAUCAAAUGAGGACUCAAAGAUGAUCUCUGAUGUAGUGCAAUCCUUUUAAGAAAGUCCUUUGUUUUAUUGCUAAACGUUCUUAUAUUGGUUGAUGUCUCCUCAUACAUAUAUUGUAUGGAUCUAAUAUUGGCAACCUAGGCUCCUUUCUUUUACAAAGCUUUCCAAAAUAUUUCUUUUGGUACGUGGUCUUAAAAUUUUUUCAAAUAAAUGAAAACCAUGUGUAAAUCUUUACUUUUGCUUCGGUAUUUUUCCAUUAAUCCCCUUGGUAGAUAAAUCACUUUUGUAAUUACUCUACCUGACAUGAAGCGAAAUUGAUUCUCAAAAAUUCUAGUCUCCAAUCUCAACCUACGCUCGAUCACUAUUUCCCGCAAUUUCAUAGUAUAAGUUACAAACUUAAUUCUUCUAUAGUUUGCACAAUUCUAAAUAUUCCCUUUUUGUAACUAUGAACAAAAGUUCUCCUCUGUUCGUCAGGUAUUUUCUUGGACCAUAAGAUUUCAUUAAAUAACUUAGUUAGCUAUUGCAGCCCCUCUUUACCUAAACAUUUUCACAUUUCAAUAGAGAUACAAUUAGAUCCAUUGGCUUUACCAUUUACCAUUUUCUUGAGAGCUUCCUUUAUCUCACUAUCACAUAUCCUUCGAUAGGAUGACAAAUUUUGUUCUUUUUCACGAAUUAUUAAAUCCUCCAAGUUACUGGACGAGCCCCUUCAAAGUCACUUCCACAUUACUUUAAUCAAAAUGUGAUUUUGACAAAAACCAAUUGAUUUCUAAACACGAACUUUAUGUGUAGUAAUAGAGCCAUCAACAUUUCUCUCGACUUCAAGCACCCUUGUACAUCCUAUUGCUUCUCUUCCAGGUGCUAAAUUUACUAGUUACUUGGUUCCCUUGUUUGUUAGUUCUAUACACUUCUUCCAUAGCUUUCUAUAACUGAGGAGUAUUGAGAGCCUCAACAAUAGAGUUAGGUUCUGUUCUUCGAAUACCCUUUCAAUUUCCUGAAUUGGAGCAAGUAGCCAUAAGGUGAAGAUCCAUAGGAACAUUCCCGGGGCUGCUGUGAGGCAAAUCUGAACUAUUACAAGGUUGACAUGUACCUGGUACAGUUCUGGAGGCUAAUCUAUUUCAUUCCUCUCGUUCAUUUGUUGAAUGCUGAACAGAAGAGGAGCUUUGCACACAUUGUUGGUGUGAAUCAUGAUUUCUGGAGGUCUGAUUUUGUGAAAAGCCAGAGCUGCUGCUUCUAUUAGGUUCUGAUUCUGAAUAUUUGGAUUCUGAAAAAUUAGGAUCAACAUUAAACUAUUUGAUGAAUCAGGCUCUUGUUCACUAGUUGUUGAGCUAAUGCUUUGGUUUAAUUACUUUGAUGCUCCUUAACACAAUUCAGCUACAUACAAGCAAGUUUGCUAUUUUUGGCCUUCUGGAACUGAUGUUUCGACUACUUAUUGAGUUUUUGCAAUGGGAGUGAGUCAUGAUUUAUGUUUUAUGGCUCUAUAUUGUGGUUUUGACAUGAUUUGUUUUGAUGACCUUUGUAUUGGUUUGAUGUGAUGUUAUGUUCUACAUUUUGUUUUUCAUGCUAAUAUUGGAAAUGACACUUUGGGUGUCAGCUAGCUCUUUUGACUCGGAGAGAAUAUAUCCUGAUUGUAUUUUUUGAUAAAAUGCAAUCAUUAAAAUUUGACCCCCAUUAUUCCUAUGCUGUUGAAUUUCAGUACUAGUUCCUAAAAAUCUUAUUUUGCUAGUGAAGAUUUUGUAUCAUCUUUGAAUCAUUAUCUUUUUGGCUCUGAAUGUGAGGUAUGCUUAUUUGCAAUUCUGGGCUUCAAUCUCUGCCUCGCCAUGUAUUUUUUUUAUUCAGGUUUGUGCUUUUCAAUACUUAAUCUUUGUUAGUAGACUCCAUUUGAAAAAAAACAAAAACAAAAAUCCUGUUGCCUUUGGGAAAUGUGUGCUUGGGUGGGAUUCUUUCCUUGGCCCAUUGGUUCAAAUGUUUAGAGUAUAUAAUUUGUUGACUGCCCAAGUUGUGCAGUCUAAUGUUAGUGCAGAGUGCCCAAGUUUUAUUUUUCGCUUCAGACUGGAUCAAAGUUCUUUUUCCUUGCAACUUUACCAUGAUUUUGCAAUUAUUUUUACUAACUCAGAAGCAAAGGUUAUAUUCUAAAAUCAAUGAAAAGCCCAUGUUAGCUUUAUAAGGUUCUGAAAUUAAGCAUUACCUUGAGUUAGGCUUGGCUUUAGAAUAACUCGCCCUGUAAAUCUGGAAUUAGUCUUAGUAAGAGGUCAAAGUGUUAGAAAUUGGCUAAUAGCUAGAAGAAUUGCUUUUACUGUUAUUUCAUGCCUCCUCAAAGUAGAGACCUGAGAGAGAGAGUAACAUUGAGCCCAUCUGAGAGCCUUGUGGUAGUGAUUAAAAACUUUAGAAAUAGCUGAAAUGCUUGAUACUUGGAAGCAAUGGACAAAAGGGAAAUGAUAGCACCAUCUGUUGCUAUGGGGAUGUCAGGGUUUCAGAUGUUAGACAAAUAGUUGCAGAGAAAUUUGUAUUUAAGUUCUACAUGCGUAUGAAUUUGUAUAUACUUGCCACCAGCUAUCGUUAUCCGAGCAAGAAACAAGUUUUAUGAACGUCUAAUUCAAAAUUAUUGCAUAACUAGAGAACAUUUUUUCCUCCUCGGUAAAAAGUGUGCAUGUAGCAGACUGGCCAAGUUUAGCAAAUAAAUAAUCCCUUGAUAUUUAUGAAAAUCGGUAGUGUCACGAAGGUAUAUUAUAAGGUCCUUGGCGGUGGGAAAGCAAUUUAGAAGACAAUUUAAGGGAAUUAUAUCAAUUUUUACUCUAGAAUGAAUCGUUUGAAAAGUUGAAAUUGAUGAUAGAUAGGAUUUUGUCAGCCGUACAAGUCUAGCUAAAUAUUUGGUUGGAACAUGAGUUUUAAGGAGCAUUAUGUUAUCGCAGCGUAAGUCAAGGUAUGGCCAAAACGAGUUUUGAUGACAAAAAAAAGAAUAGUUCUCAGGUGAAGGUGUGGCCCCUCAUGGCUCAUGGACGAGGUAUUAUUCCUUUGUAUAUUCAGGGCUAACAUAAUUAUUUUAAAGUUGGGAAACGAUUUUUUGCAAGGGCGUUGAAUGAGGAAUCUUGCUUGUUUUGGGCAUUGGGCGGUGCAAAUUUAUCUUCGUUUUCUCGGGCUACUGGAAUUCAUGUGAGUAUGCUAAAAGCCUAAAAGUUGACUCCUCCGACGGUCUUUAGAAUGCCAGUGGAGAGUAAGUUAAGCGAAGGGUGUGACAAGGAAGCAAGACACAACGUGUGUUUUCACCAUGGUUGGGUGGGAAGCAACCUGCUGCCCUAAGAUUUGCCAUGGUGGGGAGGCUGAGUAACCAUAAUGCUCCAUCAUAUUUGUCAGUUGUGUAUUUGAAUUGAAUCCCCUCGAGGGGACACUGAGGAGAUAAUAGAAUAAGUAGAGAAAGAAACGAGCGGUAUUUAUCCAAGUGGGGUUCCCUGUGUUCCCCCACUUCUUGUUGUCAUUGUAUUUUGAGUGACCGAAAAGAAUUCAAGUUCAGUCAUGCCCUUGUUGAAGGUUAUAUUAUCAUUCCAUGUAUGCUUUUGGACCUCCACUUUCACAUGCCCAAAGUGAAAUCGUUCUUUUUCCCCCAUUUAUUCCUCAGCAUUAUGUAAUGGGAAUAGAACUGUUCCAUCAUGUAAUGUGUAUGUAUGUUGAAGUG